rnacentral:misc_RNA from 1 species
GAUGAAGAACGUAGCGAAAUGCGAUAAGUAAUGUGAAUUGCAGAAUUCAGUGAAUCAUCGAAUCUUUGAACGCACAUUGCGCCCGCCAGUAUUCUGGCGGGCAUGCCUGUCCGAGCGUCAUUUCAACCCUCGAACCCCUCCGGGGGGUCGGCGUUGGGGAUCGGCCCUGCCUCUUGGCGGUGGCCGUCUCCGAAAUACAGUGGCGGUCUCGCCGCAGCCUCUCCUGCGCAGUAGUUUGCACACUCGCAUCGGGAGCGCGGCGCGUCCACAGCCGUUAAACACCCAACUUCCGAAAUGUUGACCUCGGAUCAGGUAGGAAUACCCGCUGAACUUAAGCAUAUCAAUAAGCGGAGGA